UUUUUGUCCAUUUACAUAAUUAAGUAGUUCAGAGAUAAAUUGGGUUUUAGAUCCCAGGGUAAAGCUGGAGUUAGCUCUCCCCCGUGGCAACCCCCUAGCACCUCCACGUUCUUGUCUUGUGGUAGAAGACUUGGAUCCUGACAUCACCAGCUUCCAUGUUCCACUGCAGGUAGCAAGCUUUGCUAUGACUGGGCGAACUUAAAUCAUGUGUCCAUCCCUGAACCAAUCCUAACAGGCAGAAGGAAAGGAUACUUUGGUUAGUUUAGGCUACUAGGAGCCUGCCACUAGAGUCAGGGGCAAGGUCAAUCCUACCCAGUCUACAUGAAUGACUAUAGUGGAGAGGUGGCACCUGGAUUUGCCUGGCACUAAGAGCCAAUAUGGAACCACAGCGAAGGCAAGGAUGCAGAAGACACAAGAAGAAGGAAGAGGACAAAUAAAAGGAGAAGAAGAAAGGAAGGACCAACAGGUAACACCUACUGCACUUACAAAGUGCCAGACACUGGUCUAAACUGUUCAUCUUUAUUAACUCAUUUAGUAUUCAUAAGGCGGU
rnacentral:lncRNA from 1 species